UACAGGUGUGCAUGGCCCAAGUUGCUAACAAGAAGCUCAGUUAAGCCGUAUUGAUUCUUCUGCACUGAAUUCAACAAGCUGUGAAUGUUACGCAUUAAUAUUCAACACAUCUUCAGGAUCUACACAGUCAGUGGUUACAACUAAAGUGCUUGAUCCUGAAAACACUUCAACAUACUCUUGUACUUUUCUCACUUUAUUGAAGUAAAUGGAACUAGUUGCAUGAAUAAGCCUUUUUCUCUGCAAUAUGCUGACUAUACGCGGCCGUUGGCUGACUUGAAGUCAUACACUAAACACGUAUUUGUUUAGUGCUGUUCCUUGCAGUAUGGAGAGACUUGCUCAUGCAAAGCUUCAUGAAGCCAGAGGGACUGCUCAUGUAUUUCGAUAUCUUGCUGAAUCGGGGCUGACAAGCACACCACUCCCACUGUUUUCUGAAGGCUCUGAGAGGAGAAUUUGGCUUCGUAUAAGAUUCAACAUACCAGUGAUGUUCAGCCUGAGGCUUGCAAACCCCAAGUGUGUCUCCUGCGUCUCUUUGCGGCACGUGAUAUUAAAACACUGUGUGAUUUAAUUAUUAACCAAUCUAAGUUGUUAACCAAUCAGGAUGCUGUUACUAUGUUAUUAACCAGUUAUAAUUGAUAAUACUUGGUCAGUCAUUUUGCUCUGAGAAUUCUAGU